AACUCUAUGUUCUUCUGUUUAAAUCUGUAGAAAAGUUUUAUCCUUUAUUCCUCAACUCCGACAUUCACUCGCCACCUAUCCUUGAUUCUCACCACUUCACAACUUGUCUGACCACUGCUCGUCGCACAACCACACAAUCCCCGUCCACACAUCGCCCGACCACACAUCGUUCAUCCACAUAACCUUUGACCAUAAAGCUGCCGAACAGCUGACGCCUAACCAUGACUUACCCGACCACAACUCACCCAACCACAACAACCUUAGCAACCCGUCUCAUGUCGCCACACAUGAUACACCUAAUAGACACCUUUUGUUUUGUUCUCAAUGUGCCUUUCAGCUUAUGUCUAUUCAUGUACUUUAAUUCCACGAACUGAGUAUGUGAGGAAGAAGAAUCACUUGGAAGCCACUCCCAUAUCAUUAACUAAUAUGCUGUACAACACUACCUCCAUCCAGACUAAAGCCUACAAGAUCAUACUAGCAUUGUCACCAGACUAAAGCCAACAUCGGCAUCCAUUCACAAACUGGCCACCAGAGCCUUGACGACAACACUCCCGACCACAACAACACUCCCCCUAACCACAAGAGUCCCAUCCACAACACAUCUGACCACCACAACAAUCACACAAACCACAAGAGUCCCAUCCACAAUACACCUGAGAACCCCAAUCCGACCAUCUUCUUUUUGUCCACCACGAACUCCACCCAUUACCAAACACAUCUCCAAAUAUUUAAACUAUAUUCUCAGCCUUAGAUCCCACACAUCGUUCAUCCACAUAACCUUUGACCAUAAAGCUGCCGAACAGCUGACGCCUAACCAUGACUUACCCGACCACAACUCACCCAACCACAACAACCUUAGCAACCCGUCUCAUGUCGCCACACAUGAUACACCUAAUAGACACCUUUUGUUUUGUUCUCAAUGUGCCUUUCAGCUUAUGUCUAUUCAUGUACUUUAAUUCCACGAACUGAGUAUGUGAGGAAGAAGAAUCACUUGGAAGCCACUCCCAUAUCAUUAGCUAAUAUGCCGUACAACACUACCUCCACCCAGACUAAAGCCUACAAGAUCACACUAGCAUUGUCACCAGACUAAAGCCAACAUCGGCAUCCAUUCACACACUGACCACCAGAGCCUUGACGACAACACUCCCGACCACAACAACACUCCCCCUAACCACAAGAGUCCCAUCCACAACAUAUCUGACCACCACAACAAUCACACAAACCACGAGAGUCCCAUCCACAAUACACCUGAGAACCCCAAUCCGACCAUCUUCUUUUUGUCCACCACGAACUCCACCCAUUACCAAACACAUCUCCAAAUAUU
rnacentral:lncRNA from 1 species